GAGAGGGGGUGACUAGUGACAGAGGGAGGGAAGGGGUGACUAGUGACAGAAUGAGGGAGUGCCUAGUGACAGAGGGAGGGGGUGACUAGUGACAGAGGGAGGGAGGGGGUCAGUCACCCCAUCCAUCUCUCUGUCACUAGUCACUCCCUCCCUAACUCUGUCACUGUGUCACCCGCUCCCUCACUCUGUCACUAGUCACUCCCUCUCUCACUCUGUCACUAGUCACCCCCUCACUCUGUCACUGUGUUACCCCCCUCCCUCCCUCUGUCACUAGUCACCCCCUUACUC